GCCUAUGUGCUCAGUGAUGAGAGCAUCAGCCUAACGCACUGAAGGGUCAUGGGUUUGAUUCCCAGUUAAGGGCA
rnacentral:tRNA from 1 species